rnacentral:lncRNA from 1 species
GUGAGCCCUUAAAAGGGACAGAAAUUUUGCACUCGGGGAGCUCAGAUUUUAAGACAGUAGCUUGCUGAUGCUCCCAGCUGAAUAAAGCCCUUCCUUCUACAACUCGGUGUCUGAGGGGUUUUGUCUGCAGCUCGUCCUGCUACAAUGGUGGUUCCUUUAUAGAGUCCAUCUGCUCACUACAUGUGAUUCAAGCCUAGCUCGAAAGAUAGGCAAGUGAUGACUUAGGACACUGUCAAUGGCAUGAGACUUCUUUCCAAGCUAUCAGAAGACCGCCUUCUUUUCCCACUGCUACUGCCAGGAUAUUCAUGAUUCCCUACCUUGAAUCAAUGCCGCCAUCUUCCUUUUAACUCAGGGACUAUGAGAUACACAGGUCUUCAAUGCCAGUCACCUCAUGGACUCACCACCUAGUUUAUCAAGGAGAAGUUGAUGCUGGGAGCAACUACAAAAAUGAAGCUACUCUGAUUUAGCCAAAAAGAUUCUCCAUUCUAAGGACUCCUGUGAUUUGAUUGGGAGCCUCUACAUCAUUCAGGAGAAUCCUCUGACCUCAAGUUCUGUAACCUGAAUCACAUCAUAAGGUAAUCUAUUCAUAGGUUCUGGGGAUUCGCGUGUGGGAAUCUUGGCAGGCAAUGAUUUUCUGCAUUCCAUAAUGAUACGGAAGAGCUAGGCUCCUGGCUAAACCCCACCUUUAAGCCUCGGAUGGUGACCAUAAGUGAAAACAUCUGACCCCAUUUUUCUGCCCAAAUGUUGCCUUUUUGGCCCAGUCUGCCCCUAUUCUGUGCCCACAACAGACUUCAGCUGGCAGAGCAACACAAGCAGCUGAAUAUCAAGAGGUGAAGAAGCAACUGGGCAUCUGAGACUAUGGAUAGAUGCGACUUAACUUCAGACGGCACAACUUUGGAGAGGAGCCCAGAUGGAGACGACCAGGCUUCAAGGAAAGAUCACCUUCUUCUUGCACCCCCCUUUCAGCUCCCCUUCUGCUGAGAGCUACUUCCACUGCCUAAUAAAAUCCUCUGCAUCAUCACCUUUCAAACCAUUCGUGCGACCUGAUUCUUCCUGGAUGCCGAACAAGAACCUGGGAACCAAGAGGGCAGAGUAUUAGGCUGUCACCCUGACUCUCCACUAAGCUGGUUAACACUUAGCUGCCAUGGACAGCAACUCCUAAAAGAGCAUUAAUUUUAUCACACCCCUAGACGCUGCCAGGGGGCUGGAGCCCAAAAGCAUUUGCCCCAGCUCCAACACCCACUUGCCUGUGUGCUCCCUCCCGUGAGGGGUUGAGCCCAGUGGGUUUGAGUGAGUGAAGUUCAUCCCUGUUGGCAGCAAAGUGGCAGGCUGAACCCAGAGCCAGUGCACUCUAGUUCCCAUCUGCAAAAGGGUCAAAGGAACUCUCCUGUCUCAACAACAUAUUACUGACUAACACAAGCAUCUUAUGCCUGGUAGCAUCAAAUUAAGCAAAGGGUAGCCCGAAUGCCAUGUCUUCACAUUUUAUUCCACUUGGAUCUCCUGUAGAAUGGCUGUUUACCAUGGAAGGGCUGAUUCCAAUUCUCACGUUAAUCACUUACAAGGCAGAAACCAGCUAGUCUAGACUGGUAAAGGGCUUUCCAGUUCAUUCAUCAGCCUCCUCUGAUUCUCUCAGGGCUCAUUCAGAUGUUCCCAAUCCUUUCACAAGAUUACAAUUCAACACAUAUGGAAGCACAAAAAAAAAUGCUGAUUUCCCCACAUAAAUAAUAAUUAAUUACUAAUGAAGAUAAUGGUGACAGACUAUGGGACUUAAGAAAAAACCUACGAGGAUGUAUCACAAGACAAAUCCUUCUAAAAAUUAAACUAUUUGCAGACAAUCAGAAAGUCAAAACUAACAAUCUCUUAAACAUUUCUCAGAUAUGGCUGUAAUAACAUAGCAUUCCUAUAAAAAUGAACUUUUAGGUUAAAUAUAUCUUUACACAUACAUGCACUUGCACCCACAUGUACACACAAUCUAUUUUUGGAUCUACUGAAUAAAGCAUCAUUAUUUAAAGUGAAGCAAUAAAAGUUUCAACGUCUUUUUUUCUAAGUAUUAGCCUUGAAGUUAUUCACCCUAACCAAA